UGCUAUAAUAAAAACUUAAUGAGCUCUUAUUCUGCUUUCCUAUCUUGCAUAACAGCGUGAGCUAAUCAGGCAAUUUUAUGUAUGACAGUGAACAACCCCCUUCUUGCAAUCAUUUUCUGCACUUUGGGUGCACUUGGCUUUGUUAUACCAGGCAGCACUUGAAGGGAUGAUUAUCCCCACUCUAUGAAUGAGGAAGAUGAGAUACAGAGAAGGUAUGUGACCAGAUCAAUGCCCAACAGCACUUGCAGAAAUAGGUGUGGAAGGCUGUAAAACUCAGAGGUGUAUAUGGUUGGUUGUUCUUCUUUCAUGGCACCAACGCUAAUUCAUUGCCUGGCACACUGUACUGGAUGGGAGCAUACAUUACUGAUGAUUGUUUCUCAACCUGUCUCACUCUCUCCACGAAGAGAGGAGAUGGCCCCAAUGCAGCUUUGACGAAAUCUAGAGGAAGAGAAGAUUGCUCCUAUUGCUCUGCAGCAUCCUGGCUGUGAUUGGUGAGAGAUUGUUUGGAGUCAUGGGUUCUGGUGGUGUUUGCAGCAGUUCCUUCCCUUUAAUUUUCUGCAUAUAAGGAGUGUCCUGAAUGGCAAGCAGAGGGAUCGCAGCAUGGAGAUCCUCAAAGGACCCACUUGCAGCCCUGCUUCUUGGAUUUGAUAUGACAUUUUGAUAUUGCCAGCUCUGCUAUUUUAUCCACUGCCUUAUGAUAGCUGAAGAUUUAAUGAGACUUUGAAAACAAAUGGUUACCUGAACAUUUUAUUUAUUAUUUUUUUUUAGAAAACUCAUUUAUGAUUUUCACAAUAGAAAAAUCACUUUGAAAAGAAUUCAACUUUCUGUAAUUUCUUUUUUUUUCAGUCUCACAUCUAAUCUGAUUGUCUGGGAAGAGCAAAGGGUGGGUACUAUGUCACUUGUAGGGUCAGAAAGAAUGCAGCUAGAAUGAAAGGCCCUUCAGGUUUCUGUAGGGAAUUUCUGGGAUUUUGAAAAAUAAGUAGGUUUGUCAUUAACUGCCUUUGUUCACUUUAUUUUAUUUUAUUUAUGCUGCAGUUAUGUUUGUUGAUGCACUGGCUACCUUGUCUGGCCAACUGCUUAAUCUCACUUUACCAAAUGUGGGUUUGUAGAGAUGUAGGAGCAGAUGGAUACCUUUGUUCCAGUAAAUCUU
rnacentral:lncRNA from 1 species